AAGCAGGGUUUCAUGUGUUUUCUGCUACUGGAGGGAGUCUAGCAUUUUUUUUCCUGCUGCAUAUUUAAGGCGAUGUUUUCCAACCAUUUUGCAAAUGUGGAAAUUGAAGCUUAGGUGCUUUCUCAAGUUGUUGAAUAGUCAUGCAACUAGUGAGUGGUAGACUCUCAGAUUGAACUGACUCUGAUUUCAGAACCCAAGUUCAAAUUUGUUUUCAUUCACUAUAUUAGCUCAAUUGUAUUGUCUUCAACAUUUCCAGUCCAUUGAUCAAGAUUCUAUUACAGCCACCCCUAUAUAUCUGGAGAGUGUAGAUAAGUUUUCUUUUCUUUUUUUUUUUUUCCCAGAGACUAAAACAACUUUACCAGAUUGAAACACUCAAGACAAAGGAGCCCAGGAACAAAAUUCAUCAGAAAACUAGAGGAAGUUUUCAUGGAGUUGCUAAUUAGAAAAGCCUAAAAUUCAUAUGGAACCCAAAAAGACUCAAAUAGCCAAAGCAAUCCUAAGAAAAAAGAACAAAGCUAGCGGUAUCAUAUUACUUGACUUUAAAUUAUGUUACAAGGCCACAGUAACCAAAACAGCAUGGUAUGGGUAUAAAAAUAGAUACAUAGAUCAAUGGAACAGAAUAGAGAACCCAGAAAUAAAGCCACAUGCCUAAAACCAACUGAUCUUUGACAAAGCCAACAAAAAUAUACACUGGGGAAAGAACACCCUAUUCAAUAAAUGGUGCUGGGAAAAUUGGAUAGUCAUAUGCAGAAAAAUGAAACUGGACCCAUAUCUCUCAUCACAUACACAAAUUAACUUAAGAUGGGCCGGAGACCUAAAUGGAACACUGAUGCUAAAUGAAUAUCCUAGAAAAAAAUGAGGAAAAACUCUUCUGGACACUAGCCUAGACAAGGAAUUCAGGACCAAGACCUCAAAAGCAAAUACAACAAAAACAAAAAUAGACACAUGAAACUUAAUUAAACUAAAAAGCUUCUGCGCAGCAAAAGAAAUAAUCAACAGAGUAAACAGACAACUUACAGAAUGGGAGAAAAUACUUGCAAAUUAUGCAUCCAACAAUGGAUUAAUAUCCAGAAUCUACAAAGAACUCAAAAGACAAAAACAAAUAACUUCAUUAAAAAGUGGGCCAAGGACAUGAACAGAAAUUUUUCAAAAAAAGACACGUAAGCAGCCAACAAACAUGAAAAAAAAAAUGCUCAAAGUCACUGAUCAUCAGAGAAAUGCACAUUAAAGCCACAAUAAGAUACCAUCUUACACCUGGAUGUAAAAUACCAUCUUACAUUCUGGAUGGUCACAGAAUGGAUAUUAUUAAAAGUCAAAAACAACAGAUGUUAGCAAGGAUGCAGAAAAAAGGAAUUGCUUAUGCACUGUUGGUGAGAAUGUAAAUUAGUGAAACCUUUAUGGAAAACAGUACGGAUAUUGCUCAAAGAACUAAAAAUAGAACCACCAGUUGACCCAGCAAUCCCACUACUGGUAUCUACCCAAAGUAAAAGAAAUCAUUAUAUCAAAAAGACACCUGUACACAUAUGUUUAUUGUAACACUAUUCACAAUAGC
rnacentral:lncRNA from 10 species